rnacentral:rRNA from 1 species
AUUGAACGCUGGCGGCAGGCUUAACACAUGCAAGUCGAGCGGGGAAGGGUAGCUUGCUACCUAACCUAGCGGCGGACGGGUGAGUAAUGCUUAGGAAUCUGCCAUUUAGUGGGGGACAACAUUCCGAAAGGAAUGCUAAUACCGCAUACGUCCUACGGGAGAAAGCAGGGGAUCUUCGGACCUUGCGCUAAAUGAUGAGCCUAAGUCGGAUUAGCUAGUUGGUGGGGUAAAGGCCUACCAAGGCGACGAUCUGUAGCGGGUCUGAGAGGAUGAUCCGCCACACUGGGACUGAGACACGGCCCAGACUCCUACGGGAGGCAGCAGUGGGGAAUAUUGGACAAUGGGCGGAAGCCUGAUCCAGCCAUGCCGCGUGUGUGAAGAAGGCCUUAUGGUUGUAAAGCACUUUAAGCGAGGAGGAGGCUACUAGUAUUAAUACUACUGGAUAGUGGACGUUACUCGCAGAAUAAGCACCGGCUAACUCUGUGCCAGCAGCCGCGGUAAUAC